UUCCGGUUGAUCCUGCCGGACCUGACUGCUAUCGGAUUGAUACUAAGCCAUGUGAGUCAUUGCAGUAAUGCAAGGCAGACGGCUCAGUAACACGUAGUCAACCUAACCUAUGGACGGGGAUAACCUCGGGAAACUGAGGAUAAACCCCGAUAGAUCAUUAUGCCUGGAACGGUUUAUGGUCCAAAUGAUUCGUCGCCAUAGGAUGGGACUGCGGCCUAUCAGCUUGUUGGUGAGGUAAUGGCCCACCAAGGCUAUUACAGGUACGGGCUCUGAGAGGAGAAGCCCGGAGAUGGGUACUGAGACACGGACCCAGGCCCUAUGGGGCGCAGCAGGCGAGAAACCUUUGCAAUGUGCGCAAGCACGACAAGGUUAAUCCGAGUGUUUCCUGCUAAAGGAAUCUUUUGUUAGUUCUAAAACCACUGAUGAAUAAGGGGUGGGCAAGUUCUGGUGUCAGCCGCCGCGGUAAAACCAGCACCUCAAGUGGUCAGGAGGAUUAUUGGGCCUAAAGCAUCCGUAGCCUGUUCUGUAAGUUUUCGGUUAAAUCCAUUAGCUCAACUAAUGGGCCGCCGACAAUACUGUAGAACUAGGGAGUGGGAGAGGUAGACGGUACUCGGUAGGAAGGGGUAAAAUCCUUUGAUCUAUUGAUGACCACCUGUGGCGAAAGCGGUCUACCAGAACACGUUCGACGGUGAGGGAUGAAAGCUGGGGGAGCAAACCGGAUUAGAUACCCGGGUAGUCCCAGCUGUAAACGAUGCAGACUCGGUGAUGCGCUGGCUUGUGGCCCAGUGCAGUGCCGCAGGAAGCCGUUAAGUUUGCCGCCUGGGAAGUACGUACGCAAGUAUGAACUUAAAAGAAUUGGCGGGGAGCACACACGGGUGAAGCUGCGUUCAAUGAUUCACGCGG
rnacentral:rRNA from 1 species